UACGUAGGUGGCAAGCGUUAUUCGGAAUUACUAGGCGUAAAGGACAGGUAGGUGGUCAAGUAAGUUGAAAGUGAAAUCCCCAGUCAAACCUGGGAGGGUCUUUCAAAACUACUUGGCUUGAGUGUAGGGGGGGGAAUCGGAAUUCCUGGUGUAGCGGUGAAAUGCGUAGAUAUCAGGAGGAACACCGAUGGCGAAAGCGGAUUCCUAUCCUACUACUGACACUGAUCUGUGAAGGCGCGGGGAGC
rnacentral:rRNA from 1 species